rnacentral:rRNA from 1 species
GAUGAACGCUGGCGGCGUGCCUAAUACAUGCAAGUCGAGCGAACAGACGAGGAGCUUGCUCCUCUGACGUUAGCGACGGACGGGUGAGUAACACGUGGAUAACCUACCUAUAAGACUGGGAUAACUUCGGGAAACCGGAGCUAAUACCGGAUAAUAUAUUGAACCGCAUGGUUCAAUAGUGAAAGACGGUUUUGCUGUCACUUAUAGAUGGAUCCGCGCCGCAUUAGCUAGUUGGUAGGGUAACGGCUUACCAAGGCGACGAUGCGUAGCCGACCUGAGAGGGUGAUCGGCCACACUGGAACUGAGACACGGUCCAGACUCCUACGGGAGGCAGCAGUAGGGAAUCUUCCGCAAUGGGCGAAAGCCUGACGGAGCAACGCCGCGUGAGUGAUGAAGGUCUUCGGAUCGUAAAACUCUGUUAUUAGGGAAGAACAAAUGUGUAAGUAACUAUGCACGUCUUGACGGUACCUAAUCAGAAAGCCACGGCUAACUACGUG